rnacentral:rRNA from 1 species
UACGUAGGGUGCAAGCGUUGUCCGGAAUUAUUGGGCGUAAAGGGCUCGUAGGCGGUUUGUCGCGUCGGGAGUGAAAACGCCGGGCUUAACUCGGUGCUUGCUUUCGAUACGGGCAGACUAGAGGCAUGCAGGGGAGAACGGAAUUCCUGGUGUAGCGGUGAAAUGACGCAGAUAUCAGGAGGAACACCGGUGGCGAAGGCGGUUCUCUGGGACGGUACUGACGCUGAGACGCGAAAGCGUGGGGAGCGAACAGG